UACAGAGGUCUCAAGCGUUGUUCGGAUUCAUUGGGCGUAAAGGGUGCGUAGGCGGCGCGGUAAGUCGGGUGUGAAAUCUCGGAGCUUAACUCCGAAACUGCAUUCGAUACUGCCGUGCUUGAGGACUGGAGAGGAGACUGGAAUUUACGGUGUAGCGGUGAAAUGCGUAGAUAUCGUAAGGAAGGCCAGUGGCGAAGGCGGGUCUCUGGACAGUUCCUGACACUGAGGCACGAAGGUCAGGGGAGCAAACGGG
rnacentral:rRNA from 1 species